CGAUCUCUCGCAGAUACAAAAAGAUCCCUCAAUGAUCUCUCUUUGGUCUCUAACCCCAUCCUUGAGGGUCCUUUUAAAGAGGAACAUCCCUCCCCAACUCAACUAUCCAUGUAUAAAAUAAGGAUAAACUCCAGGUAGUUGCAAAAUCCUCGCUCCCGCAGGAUUCUGUACAAUUAGUUAGAACUGCCAAGUUCAUGCCCCAAAUGAACUCGGAUUACAACGAAACUUGAUCCGUUGGAUUCAGAAUGAAAAAUUCUUUAAGAUAGUACUAUCUCUAUUUUGAAC
rnacentral:lncRNA from 1 species